AUACGGAGGGUGCGAGCGUUAUUCGGAUUUAUUAGGUUUAAAGGGUGUGUAGGCGGGAGCCUAAGUCAGUGGUGAAAUCUCACAGCUUAACUGUGAAACUGCCAUUGAAACUGGGUUUCUUGAGUAUAGUUGAGGUAGGCGGAAUGUGUAAUGUAGCGGUGAAAUGCAUAGAUAUUACACAGAACACCGAUUGCGAAGGCAGCUUACUAAGCUAUUACUGACGCUGAUGCACGAAAGCGUGGGUAGCGAACAGGAUUAGAAACCCGAGUAGUCC
rnacentral:rRNA from 1 species